rnacentral:rRNA from 1 species
UACGUAGGCAGCAAGCGUUGUUCGGAGUUACUGGGCGUAAAGGGUGCGUAGGCGGUUGUUUAAGUUUGGUGUGAAAUCUCCCGCUCAACUGGGAGGGUGCGCCGAAUACUGAAUGACUAGAGUGCGGGAGAGGAAAGUGGAAUUCCUGGUGUAGCGGUGAAAUGCGUAGAUAUCAGGAGGAACACCGGUGGUGUAGACGGCUUUCUGGACCGUAACUGACGCUGAGACACGAAAGCGUGGGUAGCAAACAGG